GCCGAUGUAGCUCAGUUGGUAGAGCAACGCAUUCGUAAUGCGUGGGUCAGCGGUUCAAAUCCGCUCAUCGGCUCCA
rnacentral:tRNA from 1 species